rnacentral:rRNA from 1 species
GAUGAACGCUGGCGGCGUGCUUAACACUUGCAAGUCGAACGAAGCACUUAAGUCAGAUUCUUCGGAUGAAGACUUUUGUGACUGAGUGGCGGACGGGUGAGUAACGCGUGGGUAACCAGCCUCAUACAGGGGGAUAACAGUUAGAAAUGACUGCUAAUACCGCAUAAGACCACAGCACCGCAUGGUGCAGGGGUAAAAACUCUGGUGGUAUGAGAUGGACCCGCGUCUGAUUAGCUGGUUGGUGGGGUAACGGCCUACCAAGGCGACGAUCAGUAGCCGACCUGAGAGGGUGACCGGCCACAUUGGGACUGAGACACGGCCCAAACUCCUACGGGAGGCAGCAGUGGGGAAUAUUGCACAAUGGGGGAAACCCUGAUGCAGCGACGCCGCGUGAAGGAUGAAGUAUUUCGGUAUGUAAAGCUCUAUCAGCAGGGAAGAAAAUGACGGUACCUGACUAAGAAGCACCGGCAAACUACGUGCCAGCCGCCGCAGUAA